GUGAUAGAUUCAGCAGCACAUUUACUAAAAUAGGCAUGGUACAGAGAAGAUAAGCAUGGCUUCUGUGCAAGGAUGACGUGCACAUUUGUGAAGUAUUCCAUAUUUUA
rnacentral:snRNA from 1 species